AAUCAACGCUGGCGGCGUGCCUCAGACAUGCAAGUCGAACGCGAAAGGCCCCUUCGGGGGCCCGGUAGAGUGGCGCACGGGUGAGUAACACGUAGGUAAUUUGCCUUCGGGUGGGGAAGUAACAGCCGGAAACGGCUGCUAAUACCGCAUAAUGCAGCGGCUCGACAUCGAGACAGUUGUUAAAGACGGGGGACCGGCAAGACCUCGCGCCUGAAGAGAAGCCUGCGGCAGAUUAGCUUGUUGGUGAGGUAAUGGCUCACCAAGGCGACGAUCUGUAACCGGCCUGAGAGGGCGGUCGGUCACACUGACACUGACAUACGGGUCAGACUCCUAC
rnacentral:rRNA from 1 species